rnacentral:rRNA from 1 species
AUUGAACGCUGGCGGCAUGCCUUAAACAUGCAAGUCGAACGGCAGCACGGGAGCAAUCCUGGUGGCGAGUGGCGAACGGGUGAGUAAUAUAUCGGAACAUGCCCAGUAGUGGGGGAUAACUGCUCGAAAGAGCAGCUAAUACCGCAUACGACCUGAGGGUGAAAGGGGGGGAUCGCAAGACCUCUCGCUAUUGGGGCGGCCGAUAUCAGAUUAGCUAGUUGGUGGGGUAAAGGCCUACCAAGGCAACGAUCUGUAGUUGGUCUGAGAGGACGACCAGCCAGACUGGGACUGAGACACGGCCCAGACUCCUACGGGAGGCAGCAGUGGGGAAUUUUGGACAAUGGGCGCAAGCCUGAUCCAGCAAUGCCGCGUGCAGGAAGAAGGCCUUCGGGUUGUAAACUGCUUUUGUCAGGGAAGAAAUCCUCUAGGUUAAUACCCUUGGGGGGAUGACGGUACCUGAAGAAUAAGCACCGGCUAACUACGUGCCAGCAGCCGCAGUAACAC